rnacentral:rRNA from 1 species
CGCGAACGGCUCAUUAUAACAGCUAUAAUUUACUUGAAUUUGACAACCCUACUUGGAUACCGGUGGUAAUUCUAGCGCUAAUACAUGCACCAAAGCUCCGACCGCGAGGGAAGAGCGCAUUUAUUAGAACAAAACCACACGGCUUCGGCCGUCCAAUGUUGACUCAGAAUAACUAAGCUGAUCGCAUGGUCUUGCACCGGCGACGUUUCUUUCAAGUAUCUGCCUUAUCAACUUUCGAUGGUAGUGUAUCUGACUACCAUGGUGAUGACGGGUAACGGAGGAUAAGGGUUCGACUCCGGAGAAGGGGCCUGAGAAAUGGCCACUACGUCUAAGGAUGGCAGCAGGCGCGCAAAUUACCCACUCUCAGUACGAGGAGGUAGUGACGAGAAAUAACAAGACCGUUCUCACAAGAGGCCGGUCAUUGGAAUGGGUACAAUUUAAACCCUUUAACGAGUAUCUAUGGGAGGGCAAGUCUGGUGCCAGCAGCCGCGGUAAUUCCAGCU